GCGGGAGUGGCGGAACUGGCAGACGCGCCAGACUUAGGAUCUGGUGCCGCAAGGCGUGGAGGUUCGAGUCCUCUCUCCCGCA
rnacentral:tRNA from 6 species